UGUUACUCCUGAUGGAAGCGGCAUCCUUUUUGCGAAACAUUGAUGAUAUACAAGAACCUACUGAAAACCAGUUAAUUUGAUAAGAUCCCGAAACAAGUUCGGGACUACUUCGCAGAAAGAUAUAGCGGACAGCAGGAAGAAAC
rnacentral:sRNA from 1 species